GUGGGGAAUAUUGGACAAUGGGGGGAACCCUGAUCCAGCCAUGCCGCGUGUGUGAAGAAGGCCUUUUGGUUGUAAAGCACUUUAAGCGAGGAGGAGGCUACCGAGAUUAAUACUCUUGGAUAGUGGACGUUACUCGCAGAAUAAGCACCGGCUAACUCUGUGCCAGCAGCCGCGGUAAUACAGAGGGUGCGAGCGUUAAUCGGAUUUACUGGGCGUAAAGCGUGCGUAGGCGGCUUUUUAAGUCGGAUGUGAAAUCCCUGAGCUUAACUUAGGAAUUGCAUUCGAUACUGGGGAGCUAGAGUAUGGGAGAGGAUGGUAGAAUUCCAGGUGUAGCGGUGAAAUGCGUAGAGAUCUGGAGGAAUACCGAUGGCGAAGGCAGCCAUCUGGCCUAAUACUGACGCUGAGGUACGAAAGCAUGGGGAGCAAACAGGAUUAGAAACCCCGGUAGUCC
rnacentral:rRNA from 1 species